rnacentral:rRNA from 1 species
UACGUAGGCAGCAAGCGUUGUUCGGAAUUACUGGGCGUAAAGAGUGUGUAGGCGGUGUUCUAAGUUUGUCGUGAAAUCUCCCGGCUUAACUGGGAGGGUGCGGCGAAAACUGGAAUGCUAGAGGAUGGGAGAGGUAAGCGGAAUUCCUGGUGCAGCGGUGAAAUGCGUAGAUAUCAGGAGGAACACCUGUGGUGUAGACAGCUUACUGGACCAUUUCUGACGCUGAGACACGAAAGCGUGGGUAGCAAACAGG